CCUCCUUCUUACCUAUCUUGAAGCAGAGUGGAUUUCGUUGUUCUUAUCCCAUUUUAUUGGGAGCACUAAACAAUGGAAGGACAUAUAUUGAGAGGGGAAAGAGAGAGAGAGAGAUCGAGGGAGACUCCCUCCCUGAUGUCGGGGAGCUUCUACCAUUUCGAUCCAGGAAAGAGAAGCUGCGAAAAACCAUAGAGAAUGGUGACCGAUGCACAGGGCUCAACGAAGUUUUGGGAGCCAACGUUUGGCGGAGGAAAUCGAAACAAGAGUAGCCCGGAAGAGGAUUUGGAUCUGUCAGCGACUAUGGUGGUAUUCAGACCAGCGUCGGAGAUCGAGGGACUUUGGGAAAGAGACGACUUCACGGAAGAGGGCGGUGGCAGAGUUCGUCGAUUUGAAAGAAGUUCCGAGCUCAGGGUGGCGCGUCCCAGGGCGUGGUCAGGCAAGAUGACGGCUGCGCUCUGGUGAGACUACAGAAGGACUGGCCGAAGGUUUCCGCGAGGUUAGAAUCAGUUUCCACGAAACCCGGAGUUUGCCGGAUUCUGGAGAUGGCGACCUGUCGCCGGAGAAGAAAUGUGACUGAAAUGCAAGUCUGGAAAGUUUAGUGACCAUUUUGUGAUUUUGGUUAUUCUUUUAAAAUAUGCUUAUGUAGUUGUGAACUUUUAGAUGGUUUCGCCGGAGAGCUUUGGGUGACCAACGCUGCGUUUCUGCCCAACAAGUUGUAGUUUGUCCCAGACAAGUAAUUGGAGCACAACUCGACUGUUUUACCUCCAAAUGACGUACCGUCAAAAGCCGUGGAUUCGUGGCAGCGAGAGGAAUCUUCUCGAACACUUUUAUGAGAUUUCGACCCAUCAACCAGGUGGGUGAUUUAAGGGGGCAAUAGGUUAAAUUAAGUUUUAAACAAUUAAAAACACGUAAUUUCAUGUCGUGAUUCCAUGUUAUGAAUCGAUGAUUAAGUGACCAUGCUAGGUUAUGUGGUGAUAUUGUGUGAUUGACGCAUUUAAGUUUAUGACAAUGAUUUUCAUGAUUAAGUGAUUACCUUAUGUUACGCAAUUCAUGUGAUGAUUAUGACUAUGUGUUGUUAGGCUAUGUUAUGAAAUUACACGAUUGAUUAAGUAAUUACCUUAUGUUAGGUAAUUCAUGUGAUGGUUGAGUGACUAUCUUUUGUUAGGCUACAUUAUGAAAUUACUCGAUUGAUUAAGGGAUUACCUUAUGUCUGGUAAUUCUUGUGACGGUUAAGUGACUAUCUUCUGUUAGGCUAUGUUAUGAAAUCACUCGAUUGAUGCCCCUAAUCGUAUGUCAAUGUCUUCAUAAUUAAGUGGUUAUCCUAUAUCAUGCCAGUCAUGUUACGAUUUGACGGCUAUGUUAUGUUAGGCUAAGUCAGGUUACAAUUUCCUUGACCAUGUGCAAGUUAUCCCUUUUAACUACGUUAAAGCAAGUCAUGUGCCCUAUGCACCCGCGACUUUUCAAAGAUGUAUGACAACGAUAUUUUGGGUAUUUACUAGAAGAUGUUGUCGAAGUCUUCAUGGAUGACUUCUCUAUUUAUGGAGAUUCAUUCUCGAGAAGGUGCUAGCGAGGUAUGAGGAGACCAACUUAUCUCUAAGUUGGGAGAAGUGCCACUUCAUGGUGGAGAAGGGUAUCGUGCUAGACCAUAGGGUCGAGCUAAGCUCCAAACUAUCUCUCAGCCCCCCCCCCCCCCCCACACAUUGUGAAUGUUAAAAUUGUGCGUAGCUUCUUAGGACAUCCAGGUAUUUAUUGUCAAUUUAUUAAGGAUUUCUCUAAAAUUACAUUAACUAUGAUUAGGUUGUUAGAGAAGGAUUUGCCAUUCGUAUUCGAUGAUAAGUGUCUGCAGGCAUUUGAAUCCCUCAUGAAGAAGUUGCCGACUGUGUCGAUACUGGUCUCCCCACAUUGGGGAGCCCCUUUUGAACUGAUGUGUGAUGCUAGUGAUUUUGUAGUUGGAGCAGUUUUAGGACAAAUGAGAGAGAAGAGUUUACAUUCAAUCUACUUUGCUAGUAAGACGCUUAAUGAUGCGUAGAGGAACUAUAUAACUACGGAGAACGAGCUCUUGGUGGUUGUCUCCGAAUUCGACAAGAUCAGGUCCUAUCUAGUGUUGUCUCAUACUAUGGUUUUUUACUGACCAUCUGCUCUUAAGUAUCUUUUAGCUAAACAUGAUGCAAAACUGAGAUUGAUUUGAUGGUCUUAUUCCUUCAAGAGUUUGACAUAUCUACCAAAGAAAAUGAGGGCGUAGAAAACCAUCUUUCGGGCCUUGGAGGCCCUCUCCAAGGUCGACUUGCUGAAGCAGAAAUCAAUGAGUAGAAGUCGGGAGUUCUGACACCCCGAAUUUCAGUUUGAUUGAAAUUUUGGUUUGAUUAAAAUCUUACUCACUAAGUAGAAGUCGGGAGUUCUGGCGAUGACUCACGAAUAUGUUCGGGGCAAGGUAGGGGAGUGAACAACGGGACAACUGGAUGCCGUCCAAAAGAGUAAAUGAGCUACACAUUCCGGUGAGAGGCAGAAAAAUUAUGUUUGUUUAUAAUAUAAGCAUAAAAAUGAUUCAUUGGGAGGGCAAGACGUUUGGAGAAGGUUUUGUCGGCGGAGGAUGUCCAGGCAGCGACGGCAACGUUAGGAGGAGCUCCGGCGAUGAGAGAUCGCGUUCCAAGAAAGUUAGAGGUCGCUAGAGUUGCUCCCGGAUUUUGGGUUUUGUCGCCGGCGACGAGCCUAUUCGCCGAUGAAGAAGAGGGAUCCAACUACAGUUUCCAAAAGUUAACUGCCAGUUGGUAAUUCUCCCAGUUAGUUGUGAGUUUUUCUUCCGUAGUUCUCAACUUUUGGAUGGUUUAUAGUUAGAGGACUAGCAAGUUUCAUAAUGUUGCAAAUAAGUAAAUGGAGCAUAACUCGAUCGUUUGACCUCCAAGCAAUGCACGGUUAGAUGCUAUGGACUGUGUCAGCAAGAGGAAUCAUGUCAAAUCAAAAUUAGAGAUGUAGCUCUUCAUAAGAUGUAGGGGUUCAGGAUUACUUUUCUGCUUUAAGCGUAGAACUAUAAUUAGGUUAUCAGGAGAUCAAUGAUUGGAUUCUCAGGACUGUACAAAUGUUGUGAUUUAGAGCCGGGUUCUCAGGCUGUAUAGUAGCGUGUCAUCUACUGUACAUAUAGUUGUUUAUUUUAGAGCAUAAGUUCACGACGAUUGAAAUGUGUGUGUGAUUCACAGUUCAUAUUCGGAUAUGAUUCUGGUUUAGCUAAAUUAGGCCACGUUUAUGCAUUGGUCACCCACCCAUGGAUUGUACAACCCUCAGGAUUCAUUCAGGUUCAGACAGGACGUGAUUAGUUAACCUUCAGUGUCGCUCUCACGACUUUUCAGGGUGGUUUCAUGGUCUGAUUCACCAUGAGGCUAUCCGCUCAUAUCUAUGGGUGGUUGACGUUAGGAUGAUGCCUACAGGACCAAAGGGUCGCAUUAUUAGUUUCAGUGUUUAGAUAAAAUUCUUGUUCUAUCCUCAGUAAAGCCUCGGUAAAGUCUCAGUACAGGCACAGUAAAGUCUCAGUACAAGCGUAGUAAAGUCUUAGUUCAGUUUGAGUUCUAUGCAAGACUAGUUAGCCACUUAGUUCUUAUCACUGACCCCUUAGAUAUUGUUUUCUUGGUGUAUCUGUGUGUGUUUAGUCACAGGUAUUGGAGUUGAUGGUGAGAAGAGAGCUGGUAAGGGUUUUGAUAUCAAUGAUAUUAGUUUGAUGUAUUUUCAUACUAGAGUUGUAUCUCUUUUGAUUUGUUGUAUUUUGGGAUCCUAGAUCCUAGUUAGUCAGUUUUAAUAAUGUAUUCCAGUUUAGCUUUUAAUGCUUGAUUAGUAGAUUGGAGUUUAGUUACGGUUCAGGUUGAAACUCGAGUAGGAUUCUUUGGUUGAACCAACAGUUCGACCAGGACUCCUAGGGUGGGGUUUCAUAGAGAUCUUCCUAGAUGAGCAUCUUUUCCUUUUAGAAGAAGCAGAGGAAGUCUCGGAGCAUCACCCCAACAAACGCGCAUGGUAUGCCGAGAUAGCAAACUUCCUUGUUGCUGGGAUAUUUCCAGAGGAUUACACUCAUCAGCAGCGAAGGAAACUGAUUUUUGACGCCAAGCAUUACAUCUGGGAUGAUUCCUACCUCUUCCAUUUGGGGUCUGAUGGAGUAAUCAGACGUUGUGUAACCGCGCAUGAGUCGCUCAAAAUCAUGGUUUGCUGCCACACUAAUCCCUCUAGGGACAUCACAGUGGAAACCACACUGCUCGUAACAUUUUAGAUGCAGGUUUCUAUUGGAGGACAAUUUUGAAGGAUUGUGGACAUUUUGUGAAAAACAGUGAUCCAUGCCAACGUUCAGGUAACAUUUCAUAUAGGAAUGAGAUGCCAAUGGCUCGUUACCUGUAGACAUUUUUUAUGUGUGGGGAAUUGAUUUUAUGGGUCCUUUCCCACAGUCCCAUGGUAAUAAGUACAUUCUCAUUGCUGUGGAUUAUGCGUGAAAGUGGGCAGAGGCGCAAUCACUGCCUACUGAUAAUGCUAGGACGGUGUGAAACUUCAUCACUCGCCUUAUCAUACAUUUCGACAUCCCCCACCAUAUCAUAAGUGAUAGGGGUACUCACUUUUAGGGUCAAUUCGAUCGAGUUUGUCAAAAAUUUGGCGUAACUCAUCGAUUGGCCACCGCUUACAAUCCAUUGGAAAGGGGUCAAGCGGAAGUGACGAAUCGUGAAUUCAAGCGGAUUCUUGAGAGGAAAGUCGAUCAGUCUCACAAGGAUUUGUCAAUUCGGCUCGAUGAAGCUCUAUGGGCUUAUCGAACCUCUUUCAAGACUUCCAUCGACACUUUGCCGUAUCGACUAGUUUAUGGCAAAGCUUUCCAUUUAUCGGUCGAGCUUGAGCAUAAGGCGUGGUGGGCCAUGAAGAUACUGAACAUGGAUACUAGUCUCGCAGCUUUUGAAAGGAAAUAUCAGCUCUUUGAGCUAGAGGAGUACAAGUUUCACGCUUAUGAGAGGUCAUGGCUGUACAAGGAGAAGAUGAAACACAUCCACGAUGCAAAGCUGCAAAGUGUUAAGGAAUUCGUGAAGGGAGAUAAAGUGCUGCUUUACAACUCUCACCUUCGGGAAAAUUGAAAUCAAGAUGGUUGGGGCGUUAUGAAGUCACGAAAUCUUUCCCCUACGGGACUGUGGAGAUCACACAUCCAGAUCAAGGGACAUUGAAAGUCAAUGGUCACCUUCUCAAGCUCUAUCUUGGUGCCAAGCCCAGCGAAAGAUUCGAAGUUCAAUAAUUCGAGGAUCCUCAAUAAAAGGCCAUGUGUCGUCUAGCUCAAAGACGUUAAAGAAAGAGCGCUUCAUGGGAGGCAGCCAAUGUCUGAAGUCAGUCUUUUCCAUUUUCUUUGUGUCUAAUUGCAUGUUUAGGUGUUAGAUCGAGUCUUGAACAUGAUACUUGAGUCCCUUGCCCGUCCCCAGUCAAUUGUACGAAGUGAGUUGAUUUUUGCUUGAAGGGAUGAAAGACUGUGUUCGUUUGUCAAAGUUCGCGCUAUGAAAUGUCAAUACUGGCGCUAUGACCAUAGCGGCAACUUUGACCUUCUAUAGCGCCAAAUCUGAUAGUGUUCUCUGGAAGCAUUUUUUCAAAAACGUCAAUAUUGGCGCUAUGAAAUGUCAAAGUCAGCGCUAUAUCCAUAUUGCCAAUAUUGACAAGUCUAUAGCGCCAAUGUUGAUGCCGAAAUCGAAAUAGUUCCCCCUCCCUCACGAAUUUUGCUCAUAUUUUUCACAUCUUCCCCACUACCGUCAAACACCAAAGAAAACCCAGUGGCUGCCAUCGAUUCUCCCCGUCUCCUCGUUGCUGCCACACCUUCGCUGGUCACCGACGGCAACCGCACUACCACCCGAUCAAUUUGCAUCCAUUUUGAGUGUGCUUUAGAGCUUGUUUGGUGCAAUUUCGCCCGGUUUCAUCCAAACUUUUGAAAUUGAUUGUUGGUGCUCUGUUUGUCUAUUCCAAUCAUGGUGAAUACAAGGUACUACCCCUGAAUGUAUAUGCCUAGCUUUGUCUUUGAUUGCUUUGCCCCGAAUUGGUCAGAUUUGUGAGAUUGAUGAUUAGGUUGAAGAACCGUAAUUUUUCGAGUUUGGGGUCUUGUAAAAUUGAUGAUGCUAGAUUGAAAUUGAUAGGAUGCCAGUGAUAUGAUUUUCCCCUUGAAAUUCAUGAUUAGGUUGUCAGAAUGAUGUUUUUUUGGAUGUUUUAAUUGUCUUGCAUUGCUUGUAUGACUUUUUGGAUUCAUUUCUCCAGGCUUAUUGCUCGUCUCAACACCUCUUAUAGUCGAGACGGAGAUUCAUCUUCUAAACCGGAGUCACAACAACAACCACGUGCCAUGGAAAGGGACACUGAGG
rnacentral:lncRNA from 1 species